UGGUUACAUGACAAUGUAUUAUUUUUAUAAUUCAAAUACUACGUAAAAAUUAAAUAUUGAUGCCAUAGUUGGUUUACAUCGCUAAUUAAAUUCUUGCAUGUAGACUUGGGGUGACAUUUACUUCCAACCGGUAUCAUAGUUGUUUUGCAUUUGCAAGUCUUGGUUGUGCUCUAUCCUUUUCAUUUACACCUUUUGUUUGCGAGUGAAAAGCUUGCCUUUUUGUAGCUGCGUACAGUGGUACCGAGGUCUUGGGCCAAUCCAAUAUGUCGACGGUGACAUUUCUUUUGUGUUUUUAAGAAGCUUUAGAUCUCAAAUAUCGUAGCAUGACUGCAAUACACCAUAAUCACAAGAUAAUUUAAAUAAACUAUGUUACUUUCAAGUGACUUUUUGUGUAACAGUUCAUUACGAAAUUUUUGGAAUUUAUUUUUUUAAGUCGACAUAUUGCCAUUUACUCGUAAUAACUAAUCAGUAAUGACCAUCGGUAUAAAAUGCGUUUAUUAUAGUUUUGACAAGUAAGUAAAAUUAACUUUGUGAAACUUCUUGUUUGUAUUUAGCUAAUCGUUUUAUUAUCAUAUAAUAAUAAAAUUACCUAGUAUAUGAUAGCGUCUUUUCAAUGAACGGUCAUACCAUAUGAAGAGUUUAGAAGUAUUAAAAGUAAACUGUAACAGAGUGUUAAUUACCCCGACCAUAC
rnacentral:lncRNA from 1 species